rnacentral:rRNA from 1 species
AAUGGGCGCAAGCCUGACCCAGCCAUGCCGCGUGAAGGAUGAAGGCCCUAUGGGUUGUAAACUUCUUUUUUACGGGACAAAACUCUCGGACGUGUCCGGGAUUGAUGGUACUGUAUGAAUAAGCAUCGGCUAACUCCGUGCCAGCAGCCGCGGUAAUACGGAGGAUGCAAGCGUUAUCCGGAUUCAUUGGGUUUAAAGGGUGCGUAGGCGGAAUAAUAAGUCAGUGGUGAAAGCCUGCGGCUUAACCGUAGAAUUGCCGUUGAUACUGUUAUUCUUGAGUAUAGUUGAAGUGGGCGGAAUGUGUAAUGUAGCGGUGAAAUGCUUAGAUAUUACACAGAACACCAAUUGCGAAGGCAGCUCGCUAAACUGUUACUGACGCUGAGGCACGAAAGCGUGGGGAGCAAA